rnacentral:snRNA from 1 species
UUGCUCUCUUCGGCAGCACGUAUAGUAACGCUGGAAUAACAUAGAGAUUAUCAUGGCUCCUGCACAAGGACUACGCGCAAGUUUGUCGAGCGUUCCAUGAUUUU